rnacentral:rRNA from 1 species
GACGAACGCUGGCGGCGUGCGUAACACAUGCAAGUCGAACGAGAGAGUGAGAGAAGCUUGCUUUUCUUACGAUCGAGUGGCAAACGGGUGAGUAACGCGUAAACAACCUGCCCCGCAGAUGGGGACAACAGCUGGAAACGGCUGCUAAUACCGAAUACGGUCCUCUUAGCGCAUGGUAAGAGGAAGAAAGGGUGGCCUCUGGAACAAGCUACCGCUGUGGGAGGGGUUUGCGUCUGAUUAGCUGGUUGGAGGGGUAACGGCCCACCAAGGCGACGAUCAGUAGCCGGUCUGAGAGGAUGAACGGCCACAUUGGAACUGAGACACGGUCCAGACUCCUACGGGAGGCAGCAGUGGGGAAUCUUCCGCAAUGGGCGAAAGCCUGACGGAGCAACGCCGCGUGAGUGAAGACGGCCUUCGGGUUGUAAAGCUCUGUUAUAGGGGACGAACGGCCGGGUAGCGAAUAGGUACCCGGCAUGACGGUACCGUAAGAGAAAGCCACGGCUAAUC